AUGACCCACCAUUAUAGACACAGGUCAGAGGUCAGAUAUGACCCACCAUUAUAGACACAGGUCAGAGGUCAGAUAUGACCCACCAUUAUAGACACAGGUACCAUAUGACCCACCAUUAUAGACACAGGUCAGAUAUGACCCACCAUUAUAGACACAGGUACGAUAUGACCCACCAUUAUAGACACAGGGUACGAUAUGACCCACCAUUAUAGACACAGGUCAGAGGUCAGAUAUGACCCACCAUUAUAGACACAGGUCAGAGGUCAGAUAUGACCCACCAUUAUAGACACAGGUCAGAUAUGACCCACCAUUUUAGACACAGGUCAGAUAUGACCCACCAUUAUAGACACAGGUCAGAGGUCAGAUAUGACCCACCAUUAUAGACACAGGUCAGAUAUGACCCACCAUUUUAGACACAGGUCACAGGUCAGAUAUGACCCACCAUUUUAGACACAGGUCAGAUAUGACCCACCCUUAUAGACACAGGUCAGAUAUGACCCACCAUUAACCAUUUUAGACACAGGUAAGAUAUGACCCACCAUUUUAGACACAGGUCAGAUAUGACCCACCAUUAUAGACACAGGUCACAGGUCAGAUAUGACCCACCAUUUUAGACACAGGUCAGAUAUGACCCACCCUUAUAGACACAGGUCAGAGGCCGGAGCCUGGCCCCAGCCCUCAGGUGCUUUACCUGUCAGUUCAUCUCUCAUAGACACAUUUAAACACACCGGGCACAGUGGUUGUACCAUACAUUUUAUAAUGUAUUUUUUAAUAAUCGACAAAUACAGUCACCAGUCUGGUAAUCACAACAAUUACGAAAGUUAAUUCAAAGAAGGAUAAAUGUGAGGUUAACUGUCCACUCACAGAGACCAACGCAGCAUACACACAGAGAGAGGUCAAAGGGAAGCCCUGAACCACAAGAUACUGUCAGGGUGCAGAGAAAUAGCUGCGACCAAAGUACCAAAAACACAUAUGUACUGGUAUGCAGUACAUACUAUACACACAAGACAGCACUCACAGUCUUUGACAGGGUCUCUUCAGGACUCACCUCAUAGACCAGUAGUCACACACACACACACACACACACACACACAC